AGUGAACGCUGGCGGUAGGCCUAACACAUGCAAGUCGAACGGCAGCACAGUAAGAGCUUGCUCUUACGGGUGGCGAGUGGCGGACGGGUGAGGAAUACAUCGGAAUCUACUUUUUCGUGGGGGAUAACGUAGGGAAACUUACGCUAAUACCGCAUACGACCUACGGGUGAAAGCGGGGGAUCUUCGGACCUUGCGCGAUUGAAUGAGCCGAUGUCGGAUUAGCUAGUUGGCGGGGUAAAGGCCCACCAAGGCGACGAUCCGUAGCUGGUCUGAGAGGAUGAUCAGCCACACUGGAAUUGAGACACGGUCCAGACUCCUACGGGAGGCAGCAGUGGGGAAUAUUGGACAAUGGGCGCAAGCCUGAUCCAGCCAUACCGCGUGGGUGAAGAAGGCCUUCGGGUUGUAAAGCCCUUUUGUUGGGAAAGAAAAGCAGCAGGUUAAUACCCCGCUGUUCUGACGGUACCCAAAGAAUAAGCACCGGCUAACUUCGUG
rnacentral:rRNA from 1 species